rnacentral:lncRNA from 1 species
ACAGAAUUCUGUUUGCUUGGUCUCCUUGGCAAGUCCUCCUGCCAGGAAGCAAAGGGUGGGUUCAACACAAGCCAUCUCACAGCCGACAUUUGACUCCCACAUCCAGGGUGACCAUUCACUGGUAAUGGCUCAGACACUGUGCACCUGAGACUUCUUGGCUCCUCCUAAAUACAACAGGGCACAGGCCUGGGACCUGCUUGUUUCAGGACAAUGCAAAAGGAGAUAAAAAUGGAGGCCAGUGAGUGAUAUGACUGAGAUCACCCAGCUUCCAUAGUUCCCUCUCUGGAUGGGGAUGGUCUAUUGGAAUAGCCUUGAAUCACCACCACAUUGGUAAGAAGAGCCAAGUCCCUCA